GAUGAACGCUGGCGGCGUGCCUAAUACAUGCAAGUCGAGCGAACGGAUGAGAAGCUUGCUUCUCUGAUGUUAGCGGCGGACGGGUGAGUAACACGUGGAUAACCUACCUAUAAGACUGGGAUAACUUCGGGAAACCGGAGCUAAUACCGGAUAAUAUUUUGAACCGCAUGGUUCAAAAGUGAAAGACGGUUUUGCUGUCACUUAUAGAUGGAUCCGCGCUGCAUUAGCUAGUUGGUAAGGUAACGGCUUACCAAGGCAACGAUGCAUAGCCGACCUGAGAGGGUGAUCGGCCACACUGGAACUGAGACACGGUCCAGACUCCUACGGGAGGCAGCAGUAGGGAAUCUUCCGCAAUGGGCGAAAGCCUGACGGAGCAACGCCGCGUGAGUGAUGAAGGUCUUCGGAUCGUAAAACUCUGUUAUUAGGGAAGAACAUAUGUGUAAGUAACUGUGCACAUCUUGACGGUACCUAAUCAGAAAGCCACGGCUAACUACGUG
rnacentral:rRNA from 1 species